AUUAAGUUGUGCACAUUGUGUUCAUUAUUUGCCAUUGUGGUGCAAUCAUACCUAUAUUAGAUUUUAAUAUUCAAAGUUUAAAUCAUGAAAAUUAAAUGGAAUGCUCAAAAUUCCACUAUUUUUACAAAGCCAUCAUUUUAUCUAAGUGUGCAUCGCUCUGAGAAUCUAGUAAUUUAUUGUGAGAGUCCACCUGUUUAAUUUGAGAGAAUUCGUAAAUACUGAGAGCAGGUUAUUGUCUUAGUUCCCAGCUAUAGUGUAUUCUGCCAUCUUUACUUAGACCUUCGAAUGCAACAUGCUAGCUCCUGUUUAGCUCCAUUAUUUCUAUAUCUCCCUAAAAUUCUUUUUAUACAUUUUUUUUCCUUUCUCGUUUACAGGCAGCG